GCAGGAGGCCCCCAGGAAGCUGGAUAAAGAUCAGGUCUCUCUGCAGAAGCAGGAAGUUGUGCCCUUGCCUCGUGGCUUGUUUUCUGAGAACCGGUGGAAGUGCAGACCUUAGACGGCCUCCUGGGAGGGGGGACGGAGACGGGGCCCUGCAGUGGAGGCCACCUCUCUGCAGAGCUGCUUGGUUGGCACGGGCAGAGCUGAGAGCAUGUGCUGCAGACAGAGGCCCACAGGGAGGCCAGCCCUGCCCUGGAGCCCAGAGCUGCUCCCCCGUGUCCAGACCCAGCAGGAAAGUAAGUUUUCGGACUGAGAGUGAACACACCGCCCACACCAUCAACAUGUCCCAGUGUCCUCCCUGGGUCAUCAGACCUGGCCGCAUUCUGGGUCCCUUAAAAUUACAUCCUGAGCAGAUCAGCUCCAGCCUCCUCAGAACACCCUGGACUGAGCUAAGCAAGGCCGAGGCCCGGCUGACUCCUUCCACACACAC
rnacentral:lncRNA from 1 species